rnacentral:rRNA from 1 species
CCUACGGGUGGCAGCAGUGAGGAAUAUUGGUCAAUGGCCGGAAGGCUGAACCAGCCAUGCCGCGUGAAGGUCAGUGCCCUCUGGGCGUUAAACUUCUUUUGUGCGGGAGCAAUAAUGGUCACGUGUGGCCAGACGAGAGUACCGUACGAAUCAGCAUCGGCUCACUCCGUGCCAGCAGCCGCGGUAAUACGGGGGAUGCAAGCGUUAUCCGGAUUUAUUGGGUUUAAAGGGUGCGUAGGCUGUGAGGUAAGUCAGGUGUGAAAGUUUGCGGCUCAACCGGAAAAUUGCCGUUGAAACUGGGGGGCUGGAGUAUGUUUGAGGCAGGCGGAAUGCGUGGUGUAGCGGUGAAAUGCUUAGAUAUCACGCAGAACCCCGAUUGCGAAGGCAGCUUGCCAAGCCAUGACUGACGCUGAUGAACGAAAGCGAGGGGAUCAAACAGGAUUAGAUACCCUAGUAGUC